rnacentral:rRNA from 1 species
GCCGUGGCUUAUUCUUCAGGUACCGUCAUUAUCGUCCCUGACAAAAGAGGUUUACAACCGAAGGCCGUCAUCCCUCACGCGGCGUUGCCGCUUCAGGGUUUCCCCCAUUGAGCAAAAUUCCCGA